UACGUAGGGUGCAAGCGUUAAUCGGAAUUACUGGGCGUAAAGCGUGCGCAGGCGGUUGUGCAAGACCGAUGUGAAAUCCCCCGGGCUUAACCUGGGAAUGGCAUUGGUGACUGCACGGCUAGAGUGUGUCAGAGGGGGGGUAGAAUUCCACGUGUAGCAGUGAAAUGCGUAGAGAUGUGGAGGAAUACCGAUGGCGAAGGCAGCCCCCUGGGAUAACGACUGACGCUCAUGCACGAAAGCGUGGGGAGCAAACAGG
rnacentral:rRNA from 1 species